AUCCAUUGUCUAAUUAACCAUCGAAGCUAAGAAUUAAAACUAACCCAACUCAAUUGAAUAAAUGAAGAGCCCAAUUAAUAAGUUGAGUCCAUAAUUAACUUAUUAUCCUGGUCCAAUAUCAAUCUUAUUUAAACCAAGUCAUCCGAAAUAGGGCCCAAAAAUAAAUAGGCUUAAGAAUUUACUUAGCCUAAUUAAAUUAACCACUCUUAUAACAUAAAUCUAUAUAAAAUGAAAACUAGAGUCUUCUUAAAAUAAAGGAAAUCAGAUUCCUCCUUCUCUCCUCAGACGUGGUCUUUCUCUCUCUGUUCACUCACCCGCGUCUGUCACUCUCCCUUUCUCUCACGCUUGGCGACGUCGCCGGUCAUCGCCGCCUCCGGCGCGGCGAGGCCAGCGCCUCUCUCUCCCCUUCUUCUUCCUUUCCUUCCUUUUUCCUUAAUUCUAAGAUUCCCAAUUUCUAGGGUUUUCUGCCUCCCUUCUUCCCCUCUGGAAUUCGUUUCUCCGGCGAGGCCUGCCUCCACCGCCGUCGUCUCUGGCGCGCGGCCGCCCCUCUAACUCAGGAAUCGAUGAUUCAGGGGAUCUCCAGUUCGUCUACGGCUCAAGAUUCAAUUUUUAUAUGUUAUAAACCUAUUUUCCUUUAUUGCUUAUUGUAAAACUGGGAUUUUGAUGGUGAGGAAACAAUACUGUAUCGUUACUAUGCUUAUGUGUAGCUAUGUCUUUUCUGCUGUUCUUAAUUGUUCCUUUAUACACAAGGAAUUGAUUGAAUUGUAUACAAGAAAA